rnacentral:rRNA from 1 species
CCUACGGGAGGCAGCAGUGGGGAAUAUUGGACAAUGGGCGAAAGCCUGAUCCAGCCAUGCCGCGUGUGUGAAGAAGGCCUUCGGGUUGUAAAGCACUUUCAGUGGGGAAGAAAGCCUUGGGGCUAAUACCCUCGAGGAAGGACAUCACCCACAGAAGAAGCACCGGCUAACUCCGUGCCAGCAGCCGCGGUAAUACGGAGGGUGCGAGCGUUAAUCGGAAUUACUGGGCGUAAAGCGCGCGUAGGCGGUCUGAUAAGCCGGUUGUGAAAGCCCCGGGCUCAACCUGGGAACGGCAUCCGGAACGGUCGGGGUGGGGUGCAGGAGGGGAAGGUAGAAUCCCCGGUGUAGCGGUGAAUUGGGUAGGGAUCGGGGGGAAAACCGGUGGCGAAGGCGGCCUUCUGGACUGACACUGACGCUGAGGGGCGAAAGCGUGGGUAGCAAACAGGAUUAGAUACCCAGUAGUC